UCCCUUUCCCCAAUGACUAGACGACACUUAGUCUGGGAGUCAACUGGCCUUUAAUACACGAACUCUGCUUUUAUGUGAUUCUCCCAUGCAAGGGAGGCAACUACCAUAAUUACUACAUUACCCAAUCACAUAACCGGUACCUCCCCCACAUCUCCUCCCCUUAGCUUAACAGUUAACCUCAUUAAAAUAUAUACAAUUUUCCCCAAUUCUUGGAUGUACCCCAAAUAUGGG